AUUGAACGCUGGCGGCAUGCUUUACACAUGCAAGUCGAACGGUAACAGGGUGCUUGCACCGCUGACGAGUGGCGAACGGGUGAGUAAUGCGUCGGAACGUGCCGAGUAGUGGGGGAUAACGCAGCGAAAGUUGUGCUAACACCGCAUACGUACUGAGGUAGAAAGUGGGGGACCUUCGGGCCUCACGCUAUUCGAGCGGCCGACGUCUGAUUAGCUAGUAGGUGAGGUAAAGGCUCACCUAGGCGACGAUCAGUAGCGGGUCUGAGAGGGUGAUCCACCACACUGUGACUGAGACACGGCCCAGACUCCUACGGGAGGGAGCAGUGGGGAAUUUUGGACGAUGGGCGAAAGCCUGAUCCAGCCAUGCCGCGUGUCUGAAGAAGGCCUUCGGGUUGUAAAGGGCUUUCGUCAGGGAGGAAAUCCCUAGUGCUAAUAACACUGGGGGAUGACAGUACCUGAAGAAUAAGCACCGGCUAACUACGUGCCAGCCGCCGCCGUAA
rnacentral:rRNA from 1 species